rnacentral:rRNA from 1 species
UACGUAGGGUGCAAGCGUUGUCCGGAAUUAUUGGCGUAAAGAGCUCGUAGGCGGUCUGUUGCGUCGGCUGUGAAAACCCGGGGCUCAACCCGGCCUGCAGCCGAUACGGCAGACUAGAGUUCGGCAGGGGAGACUGGAAUUCCUGGUGUAGCGGUGAAAUGCGCAGAUAUCAGGAGGAACACCGGUGGCGAAGGCGGGUCUCUGGGCCGAUACUGACGCUGAGGAGCGAAAGCGUGGGGAGCGAACAGG